UACGGGAGGCAGCAGUGGGGAAUAUUGCACAAUGGGGGAAACCCUGAUGCAGCCAUGCCGCGUGUGUGAAGAAGGCCUUCGGGUUGUAAAGCACUUUCAGCGAGGAGGAAAGGUUAGUAGUUAAUACCUGCUAUCUGUGACGUUACUCGCAGAAGAAGCACCGGCUAACUCCGUGCCAGCAGCCGCGGUAAUACGGAGGGUGCGAGCGUUAAUCGGAAUUACUGGGCGUAAAGCGUGCGCAGGCGGUUUGUUAAGCGAGAUGUGAAAGCCCCGGGCUCAACCUGGGAACCGCAUUUCGAACUGGCAAACUAGAGUCUUGUAGAGGGGGGUAGAAUUCCAGGUGUAGCGGUGAAAUGCGUAGAGAUCUGGAGGAAUACCGGUGGCGAAGGCGGCCCCCUGGACAAAGACUGACGCUCAGGCACGAAAGCGUGGGGAGCAAACAGGAUUAGAUACCCUGGUAGUCCACGCCGUAAACGAUGUCUACUCGGAGUUUGGUGCCUUGAACACUGGGCUCUCAAGCUAACGCAUUAAGUAGACCGCCUGGGGAGUACGGCCGCAAGGUUAAAACUCAAAUGAAUUGACGGGGGCCCGCACAAGCGGUGGAGCAUGUGGUUUAAUUCGAUGCAACGCGAAGAACCUUACCUACUCUUGACAUCCACAG
rnacentral:rRNA from 1 species